GCGAUCCCCACAGGCGCCCCAGAGCCGCCAAGUCUCCUUCACCAGGACAGAGACCGACAACGACAGCGUCCCCAGCUACGAGAACGAGGAGCGACCCCGUGCGGACGACGACGACGACAACGACUAUAACAACGAGAUCUACACCCCCGGCUACGU